rnacentral:rRNA from 1 species
AACGAACGCUGGCGGCAGGCCUAACACAUGCAAGUCGAGCGAACCCUUCGGGGUUAGCGGCGGACGGGUUAGUAACGCGUGGGAAUAUACCCUUUGGUACGGAAUAGCCUCGGGAAACUGAGAGUAAUACCGUAUGUGCCCUUCGGGGGAAAGAUUUAUCGCCAAAGGAUUAGCCCGCGUUGGAUUAGAUAGUUGGUGGGGUAAUGGCCUACCAAGUCUACGAUCCAUAGCUGGUUUGAGAGGAUGAUCAGCAACACUGGGACUGAGACACGGCCCAGACUCCUACGGGAGGCAGCAGUGGGGAAUAUUGGACAAUGGGCGCAAGCCUGAUCCAGCAAUGCCGCGUGUGUGAAGAAGGCCUGCGGGUUGUAAAGCACUUUCAGUGGGGAAGAACAGAUUCGGGUCAAUACCCCGGAGCCCUGACGUUACCCACAGAAGAAGCACCGGCUAACUCCGUGCCAGCAGCCGCGG